rnacentral:rRNA from 1 species
ACGUAGGGUGCGAGCGUUAAUCGGAAUUACUGGGCGUAAAGCGUGCGCAGGCGGCCUUAUAAGACAGAUGUGAAAUCCCCGGGCUUAACCUGGGAACUGCGUUUGUGACUGUAAAGCUAGAGUGUGGCAGAGGGGGGUGGAAUUCCACGUGUAGCAGUGAAAUGCGUAGAGAUGUGGAGGAACACCGAUGGCGAAGGCAGCCCCCUGGGUCAACACUGACGCUCAUGCACGAAAGCGUGGGGAGCAAACAGGAUUAGAUACCCUGGUAGUCCACGCCCUAAACGAUGCGAACUAGGUGUUGGGGAAGGAGACUUUCUUAGUACCGCAGCUAACGCGUGAAGUUCGCCGCCUGGGGAGUACGGUCGCAAGAUUA